AAGGAAAAAUAAUCAUUGCCUUACGUCUGCUUCUAAUUUCCAGCAAUCACUUUCUCUUAUCAUGCUUAGACAUGGAGCUAUGUUAGUGCUAUAGACUAUUCCUCCAUAUGGAUUGAUCCAGUUACAACUUACUUCUCUGUGACUUUACCUGGAAAACAUUGCUUCACCUGCAGCCUUCCAUUGGGAGUCACAGGUCCAUCUGUGAUGUUACAUACAUUUUACCCACUUACUUUAAUGGUUUGACAUUGGUG